UCCGCCUUCCUACACUCCUCUCUGAAGUGCUGCAACCCAUACAUUCUUAUCGGAAAGACCAGCGCCGCCAUUGCCUGUUUGAGAUUGCCUUUCAUCAUCUCCACCAUCAUCUCCUCCCUCAUGGGCUCCCGUUGCUGGUGGCGAAGGCGCAGCAUAGCGCUACAGAAGUCCUCGAACGACUCGUGGGACCCUUGCCUUCGGUCCAUCAUCCUCCUCUGUAUAUCGAAGUCGCUCUCGAACUUCCGAAACUGCGCCAGGAAUGCCUGUUUCAAUUCCGGAUAACUGCGAAUGUACCCCAACCUCCUCUGCAUCCAGUACCACUCCUCCGCCGGUCCCUCCAGCAGCUGUGGGAACUUCACCAGCACCUCAUCCCACUCACACCGAUAAUCCUCCCGAAGCUGUUCUAUACGGAACAUAAAAUCCUCGGCGCUCAUCGACUUCGUGGUGCCAUCAAACUUCACCCGCCAUUUCUCCACAUCUAUUCUUCUAAUGGCCUGACGAUUCGGAAUAGGCGAAACUUGCGGGUAAUGUGGCGCCGGCGCGUUUACGGCAUCCGGAAGAUAUGUGUUUCUGUCACCCAGGUGGUACUGCUCCGGUGGUGGAUGAGGGGAUGGCCACCCAUCCGGUGGUCCCUGCGGGGCGUCUACGGCUGGAAAGGUUUGGUACUGAUUCAUUGUUGGCUCUCGGUACUCGCUGCCUCUCGGAAUUCGAUUCGAUGGUGGUAUCUGCUGGCCUACGGCCGUGUGUGGCUGCGCUGGUUGUGCGGUCGCUGUCUGUGGGACGCCUGUGCCCAUCGGAACAUUUAAGUGGGCCAAGCUCUGCUGUACAAGCUGGGGUACCAGCUGCCUCAACUUCUCAUCGAGUAACCUGAUGAGCUCUAACUGUCCCACACCAAUGGCCGAAUCUAUGACCGCGUUUAGGGAACCUCCUUCUCGUGGAGCUUGGUAAAGCGCCUGGCGUGCAGCAUUCGUCUCCCGGUUCUCUCUACGUUCUCUCUGGACCGUCUGAGCUGUCAAGCUGCUGAACUCCGGCGUGUCCGGAGUUAUACGUACGUCCGACAUAUCCGAUACCGACAAGGCUGGACUGGAAACCGCGGACGUGACCAUCAUGGGGGUGACUGUUGCUGUUGUUGUGGCCAUUGCCAUUGCCGAGGCUGCUGCUGUGGUCGUAAUGGCUGUCGCCAUGUUGGUUACUGUGGUUGUUGUUGUUGCCAUAGCCGAUGUGGUCGGAUCAGGAACCUCACUAGUGUAACUAUUUGCUCUGGUAUUGACCAUUAAACCUACUCCAACCUAUAACCUAUACUACUAAUUAAACUUGAUGACAAUUCCAAAUUACCAAAUUCAGCCAACUCAAACUCUAAAUACACUAAUUAUGUCUUCUUCUUUAAACGCAGAUAUGAAAACCAAAAUUCACAAACAAGGUAGAAAGUGUAGUGCAUAUAUCCUACUAUAAGGUGGGGAACAAGUGAGAGAAGAGCAAAUCUAAGCGGAUAAGCGAAGCAUUCUAAGUUUCCAAAUAGGACUUCUCCAAACGUAUCCGGAAACUGCUUUCUCUGCCGUAAUGUAUUGUAUGACCCUGAGAUGCUGUAGUAUAUUGGUAUUACGUUUGCUACCUACGGACAUAACCACACGGCUGUUGUUGAAAACAUAAAGAUAAACCCAACAACGUCUCAUGUGCUUUGGCUCAUGGGUAUGAUUGUAUUAAGCGGACGGACAGGCCCGUCGCAAACGAAAUGCGGAUACCAAAAUCCUUAAACUUCGUGACUUACGGGAGUUAAAGAUUAGUAAAACACCGUGCCACAUCCUGCAUCUAACCAGCUUCCAGUCACCACCAGUUUGGCACGCGAUCCAAGCUUUUGAAAACUUACGAUCGGGACUCAAUCCGGUAACCGAAAUCCGAUCAGUUGCUGGCUGUGGCGAUAAAAUGAUGCGGUCAACCCGAUAACUCGGGCCCCAUGUUGCGGGCGCCAUUCUUGUCGUGGACCCCGGAGGGUCCGAACUGUCUCAGCGGAGAAAGGGGACAUAGUGUGCUGGCGGGCGCUGGCUGUUGGCGUUAGAGCUCCGGCUGUGGCUCAGUCUGGGGCGCGGUUCUUGCCAACACACCAUGUCCAGAGACAGCUGACAAAAAAACUAAAUUGAAACCAGCUCUGGAUGGGAUAACAACACAGGGUCAUACUUACUUUACGGCAGGCACGUUAUUCGCCUUCUUACUCGCACUUACCGCUAUGGAUUCGCUCUUCAGGGGGCACUGAGACAUCCUACAGUGCCCUGGACGGCCCACCCCAACCAUGGUAUCCGUUGUCCAACAGUUUUGGAUACCCCAGAAUCGUCUCCCCGUUCCCCCUCUACAGCAUGGUGCACUACCCCUUCCUUACCUUAAUGAUCUACUCUUCCAUAGCGAAAUGAGAAUACUAAGCCAAGUGGAAUUUCAUUUCUACGUUAUAAAAGAAAAGUGCCUUUGUUGCGUCUGUCAGAUCGCCGGACUGGAAUGCUUCGACGACGGCUCCCCUGGAUAGCAAGACAAUUUGGUAGCGGAGGUGCCCUGGAUCUCCCUUUUUAUGUUCUUGCCAACCUGCAGGGACAACAUUAAACGACCAAAGGGUCUUUUAUUUAAAGUGUAUUCCUAGUGCCCUAGAAUGAGCUCACCCUACUUCCUAGGUUGUAUCGUCCGUUCAAUCACCGGACUGCAGAUAUGAAACCCAAUGUCUACCCUGUUUGCUGCCUAAGUUAUUCUGUUUUCUUUUUUUUUUAUUUCUUAUAUUUUUAUUCCAGGAUGUGUGUCAAGCUAAGUUUCUCUGUGUAUCGUUCUAAGUAUUGAACAUAUAAAAAGGAGCAUACAUCGGCCUACCUUGGCACCUACGGGCUGCUGGUGCAAAAUUCCCUCGGGGACACUGGAGCAGAUGGCGGCGGUGGAACCAAUGAUGAAGCUGGAGAUGCUGAUGAGAUGAUGAUGUUGUUGAGGAUGGAAAUGUUGACGUUGCCGUGGAUGACGAUGGUUAAAAUUGCAGUAGAGGUGGGUAUUUAUUAUUUGACAAAAAGUUUUUGUUGUUCUGUUUAGUCUUUGCUAUGUUUUAUUCGUGGCUCAAAUUAACGUUCUUUUUCAAAGCUUUUUAUAUUUCACAGGAUCUUUUUUCCUUAGCAUUAAUUAGCACUAAUAAGUUUAUUUAGCUUUAAGU